AAGGACCUUUCCGUGUGACGUACAAACACAUCAAGCCAACCUGUUUCUUAUUCCUGCUUGGACUUCCUACCCAGCGUGUUGGCAGCCGAUCCAGGUCUGUCGACCAGCUCCGCAAGACCUGCAAACAAUAGCGGUGAGGGGAAAGCCUUUCCUCUCCCCCUUUGCUCUUUCCUCCCGGGGUUGAUGUUGGCAAAGCUGGGAUUAGAAAAUCCGAAGAACAAAGGCAGUGGCUUUGGCAAGUGGACUUGAAUCGACCAUCAAUUGAGCUAAUCUACGCCUGUUGGAUCGCAGGGUGAAUUCAUUGACUUGGGUACGAGUAACUUUUAUAGGAGCCCUAGUUAUCCCCGACGGAGCUCCAUGGCUGUGACCACGUAAAUAAAUACUCCGUGCUCCCAAUAUCUUAGCCUGUUCUGUCUUAGUGACUCCAGUGAGCUAUAACGUUGUCUUCAAGGACUGCUCUGCUACAUGGACAGGAGAGGAUUUGCUGCUGAAAUAUAGUGUGGGCCACGAGGCAAAAGAAAAAAAAAA